rnacentral:rRNA from 1 species
GACGAACGCUGGCGGCGUGCUUAACACAUGCAAGUCGAACGAAGAGCGAUGGAAGCUUGCUUCUAUCAAUCUUAGUGGCGAACGGGUGAGUAACGCGUAAUCAACCUGCCCUUCAGAGGGGGACAACAGUUGGAAACGACUGCUAAUACCGCAUACGAUCUAAUCUCGGCAUCGAGGAUAGAUGAAAGGUGGCCUCUACAUGUAAGCUAUCACUGAAGGAGGGGAUUGCGUCUGAUUAGCUAGUUGGAGGGGUAACGGCCCACCAAGGCGAUGAUCAGUAGGCGGUCGGAGAGGAUGAACGCCCACAGUGGGACUGAGACACGCCCCAGCCUCCGAGGGGGGGCAGCGGGGGGGAAUCUUCCGAAAGGGACAAAAUGCUGAGGGAGAACCCCCGGGUGAGUGAUGACGGCCUUGGGGUUGAAAAGCUCUUUAAAUGGGGACAAAAGGCCUUCUGGCAAAUAGUGAGGAGGAUUGAGGGUACCGAAAAAGAAACCCACGGCAAACACGGUC